UAACUUAAACAGAGCUUCUUUAAUUACCAAACAUAGGUAGGCUCAGACGGACCGGCAGAUUCCGACAGGACAAGACAAGGUUACAGCAAACAUGACGACAGUCUGGUUCAGGCAUGAAACACAACAAACAAGAAUCCGACAAAGACAGGAGCAGAAACACAACAAACAAGAAUCCGACAAAGACAGGAGCAGAAACAGAGAGAGAUAUAGGGACCUAAUCAGAGGGAAAAAGGGAACAGGUGGGAAAAGGGGUGACGAGGUGGUUAGGAGGAGACAAGGCACAGCUGGGGGAAAGAGGGGGAGAAAAGGUAACCUAACAACGACCAGCAGAGGGAGACAGGGUGAAGGGAAAGGACAGAGACAAGACACAACAUGACAGUACAUGACACCAUCACCUACAGAGAGAUGAACCUGGAGAAGAGUCCCCUAAGCAAGCUGGUCCUGGGGCUCUGUUCACAAACACAAACACACCCCACAGAGCCCCAGGACAGCAGCACAAUUAGACCCAACCAAAUCAUGAGAAAACAAAAAAGAUAAUUACUUUACACAUUGGAAAGAAUUAACAAAAAAACAGAGCAAACUAGAAUGCUAUUUGGCCCUACACAGAGAGUUCACAGCGGCAGAAUACCUGACCACUGUGACUGACCCAAAAUUAAGGAAAGCGUUUGACUAUGUACAGACUCAGUGAGCAUAGCCUUGCUAUUGAGAAAGGCCACCGUAGGCAGACAUGGCUCUCAAGAGAAGACAGGCUAUGUGCCCACAAAAUGAGGUGGAAACUGAGCUGCACUUCCUAACCUCCUGCCCAAUGUAUGACCAUAUUAGAGAGACAUAUUUCCCUCAGAUUACACAGAUCCACAAAGAUUUUGAAAACAAAUCCAAUUUUGAUAAACUCCCAUAUCUACUGGGUGAAAUCCCACAGUGUGCCAUCACAGCAGCAAGAUUUGUGACCUGUUGCUGCGAGAAAUGUGCAACCAGUGAAGAACACACAUAAUUGUAAAUACAACCCAUAUCUAUGCUUAUUUAUUUUAUCUUGUGUCCUUUACCAUUUGUACAUUGUUAAAACACUGUAUAUAUAUAUAUAAUAUGACAUUUGUAAUGUCUUUAUUGUUUUGAAACUUCUGUAUGUGUGAUGUUUACUGUUAAUUUUUAUUGUUUAUUUCACUUCAUAUAUUCACUUUAUAUAUUAUCUGCCUCACUUGCUUUGGCAAUGUUAACACAUGUUUCCCAUGACAAUAAAGCCCUUGAAUUGAAUUGAAUGGGAGAUGGCGAGAGAACGAUGGAAAGAGGGAGAUGGAGAGAUGGAGAAGGAGGGGGAGAUUGAGAGAGGGAGAUGGAGAUGGAGAGGUAGAUUGAGAGAGGGAGAUGUAGAAAUGUAGAUGGAGAGAGGAAGAUGGAGCGAGGGAGAUGGAGAGAGGGAG
rnacentral:lncRNA from 13 species